rnacentral:rRNA from 1 species
ACUCAAAUGAAUUGACGGGGACCCGCACAAGCGGUGGAGCAUGUGGAUUAAUUCGAUACUAACCGAAGAACCUUACCCAGGCUUGACAUCGAUUGCAACAUCUAGAAAUAGAUGCCUCUCCCCAAAAGGGAGACAUGAAGACACUUGUUGCAUGGCUGUCGUCAGCUCGUGCCGUGAGGUGUACGGUUAAGUCCGCCAACGAGCGCAACCCUCGUCCUAUGUUACCAGCGAGAAAGUCGGGAACUCAUAGGAGACCGCCGGUGUAAAUCGGAGGAAGGUGAGGAUGACGUCAAGUCAGCAUGGCAGUUACGCCUGGGGCUUCACACAUGCUACAAUGGACGCAACAAAGGGCAGCAAUACCGCGAGGUGGAGCCAAUCCCAAAAAUACGUCCCCAGUUCAGAUUGCAGUCUGCAACUCGACUGCAUGAAGGCGGAAUCGCUAGUAAACGCAGGUCAGAUAUACUGCGUUGAAUACGUUCCCGGGUCUUGUACACACCGCCCGU